GAGAAUCCUCCAAUCAUUUCAGUUACUUUGGUAAUGAACUUUGAAUGAAUAUAUAAAUUGAUUGUUUCAAUUUAAUUGAUUUUAAAAAAUAUGGGUAUUUUGGGGAAGAAAUGUCAAAAGUGUGUCUUUGACCUACAUCAGUCAGUCAGCCCUUGAAUGAAGUGUGUGAUGAUUCAGGGUGUGCGCCAUUACAUAAGUCUUCAUUGUUUAGCUCCAACUAACCAGAUGCGCGUUCUCCACCGGGCGCUCUAGAGGACUGUAGGAGAUAUAUGACUGCAAAGGAUCCAUGGAAUGACCCAUAUUUCCUCCAGAGCCAGAAAGCUGCAGUCAUACAUCAUUUACCAACCAUUUGUCUGACGUCAGAGGACUUGCGAGGACUACACCCCCAAUCCUGAAAGAAGUCAGCUUCUGUCUGUUUGUUUUUAACUAAUUCAUUAAAAAUAAAAAGCUGAAAUGUC